rnacentral:rRNA from 1 species
GCCCCCGGCAGACUACCGGGUUGAUAGGCCAGAGGUGGAAGCACCGCGAGGUGCUCGUGAGCCGACUGGUACUAAUGGGCCGACACUAACAAACAC